rnacentral:rRNA from 1 species
UACAGAGGUCCCGAGCGUUGUUCGGAUUCACUGGGCGUAAAGGGUGCGUAGGUGGUGAGGUAAGUCGGAUGUGAAACUCGUCGGCUCAACCGGCAAAUGGCAUUGGAAACUACCUUGCUGAGGAUUGAGGGGGGAUUGGAAGGGUACUUGGUGAUGAGAUGCAGUUGGAAAUGACUGAUGAGACGUAAUACUAAAGCUCG